AGUAGACAGUGAGACUGGAGAGGGUGUAGGAGACAGUUAGACUGGAGUGGGUGUAGGAGACAGUGAGGUUGGAGAGGAUGUAGGAGUCCGUGAGGAUGGAGAGGGUGUAGGAGACGAUGAGACUGGAGAGGGUGUAGGAGACAGUUAGACUGGAGAGGGUGUAGUAGACAGUGGGCUGGAGAGGGUGUAGGAGACAGUCAGGAUGGACAGGGUGUAGUAGACAGUGAGACUGGAGAGGGUGUAGGAGACAGUGAGGUUGGAGAGGGUGUAGGAGUCCGUGAGGAUGGAGAGGGUGUAGGAGACGGUGAGGAUGGAGAGGGUGUAGGAGACAGUGAGGUUGGAGAGGGUGUAGGAGACAGUGGGCUGGAGAGGGUGUAGGAGACAGUCAGGAUGGACAGGGUGUAGGAGACAGUGAGACUGGAGAGGGUGUAGGAGACAGUGGGCUGGAGAGGGUGUAGGAGACAGUCAGGAUGGACAGGGUGUAGUAGACAGUGAGACUGGAGAGGGUGUAGGAGACAGUUAGACUGGAGUGGGUGUAGGAGACAGUGAGGUUGGAGAGGAUGUAGGAGUCCGUGAGGAUGGAGAGGGUGUAGGAGACGGUGAGGCUGGAGAGGGUGUAGGAGACAGUGAGACUGGAGAGGGUGUAGGAGACAGUGAGACUGGAGAGGGUGUAGGAGACAGUGAGACUGGAGAGGGUGUAGGAGACAGUGAGGCUGGAGAGGGUGUCGGAGACAGUGAGUCUGGAGAGGGUGUAGAGACAGUGAGACUGGAGAGGGUGUAGGAGACAGUGAGGCUGGAGAGGGUUUAGGAGACAGUGAGACUGGAGAGGGUGUAGGAGACAGUGAGGAUGGAGAGGAUGUAGGAGUCCGUGAUGAUGGAGAGGGUGUAGGAGACGAUGAGACUGGAGAGGGUGUAGGAGACAGUUAGACUGGAGAGGGUGUAGUAGACAGUGGGCUGGAGAGGAUGUAGGAGUCCGUGAGGAUGGAGAGGGUGUAGGAGACAGUGAGGAUGGACAGGGUGUAGGAGACAGUGAGACUGGAGAGGGUGUAGGAGACAGUGAGGUUGGAGAGGGUGUAGGAGUCCGUGAGGAUGGAGAGGGUGUAGGAGACGGUGAGGAUGGACAGGGU
ensembl:lncRNA